ACUCUAACCUUACGAAAACCUCCUAAAUGAAGACAAUCACAAGUACUAGUGGCAAAAGAAACGUUAUAACAAAUAUUUAUUGUUUUAUAAACUAUAAUAAGAAAUAUGUUAUAUCAAUGGUACAUCUUUGAUCCCGCCGUGUGCUUAGAAAAUUAUACAAAUAUUUAUUUUGCUAUAAAGGAUUUAGCUUAACCAGAAGUAAAUAAAAAUGGUUCCUGAACAUGUACUGGCUGCGAUGCACCCAGCGAACCACAAGACCAUUUUCUUGCUGGACCAUACGCCUUACUUUGGAGGGAGCUGCGAGAGUGUCAUCGAGUUCGAUUUCACCAAGUCGAGAAGCCCCGGUCUGAUCCCUUUGGCUCCAAUCUCCAAAUCACUCUGGACUUGCAGCGUCGAAGCUGCCAUCGAGUACUGUCGGAUUGUCUGGGAUUUGUUUCCGACAGGCAAACUGAUACGCUUCAUCGUCAGUGACAACAAAGCAGAGAGCCUUAAUUCAUGGAGCCCUUCCCAGCAGAAUUUAACGCAUCUUUUAAACACCCUUGCAUCAGUAGGCGUACCACCUCCAGCAUCUGAAGACAGUGAGCAGCAUUCCAUAUUUCAUGGGUUAAAAAUGGCCGUGCAGGCCAUGUGUGAAUGUUCGGAACAGCAGCAUGAAAAAAGGACCUCUUUGGAUGAAAAUGUUAUACCUGUAGUAAACAGAGUGAGGAUAAUUUGUAUAACAUCAGUAGCAGACAAUGAAAGCAUUAGUAUUAUAGAAGAAAGACUGAGGCAGGAGAUUAUGGAAAGCAACAAAGUCGCUACAUCAUCAGAUUUAUUAAUUCCUAUAGAUCACUGCGAAUUUGUAAUAAUAAACAUCCAGCCAGAGCCGAUGAACAAUAUUCCAAUGCAUUCUGUUUCUUCAUCAAUUGUUAGUGAAACACAUCAUGUGAAAGCAUCCGGAGGGAUCGCAAAUAAACUAGCGUCUUUAAUUCUAAAACAUUAUGACCUGGCUAGCACCACUGUUACUGGAAUACCGAUGAAAGAGGAACAAAACGCCAGUUCUUCUGCAAAUUAUGAUGUCGAAAUAUUUCAUGUUGCUAAGGCUCAUGAUACUUUAUUCAAAGGAUGUGGAGUGGAUUUGAAGCAAAUCAGGACGUUGAAAGAAGGAAUGGAAUAUUCAACAGUUACAUUACGAUGGAGCACACCGAGAGGCUGCACUGCAUCAGAAAUGCACAAUUGCACGUCAACCCACCGCAUCACACCCGUCGACGUUAACAGCCGGCCCUCAUCCUGUUUGAUAAACUUCCUCGUCGGUGGGCGAUCAGUCAUGCUUGAAGUCGUCAGGGCCGGUGGUUCAAAAGCGCUUUCACAUUUGCUCGCAGCCCAUGCAGGUCAGAUUUACAUGCACACGCUGGCAUUUGGUAGAACGCUACAUGAUGACCCGCCUUCAAUCAGUGAGGGUAUAGGUGGGCGAGUAACCGAUUAUAGAAUAACGGAUUUUGGAGUGUUUAUGCAACAGAACAAGUUGCUACCUAUGAAACCAGGCAAAGGAGUGGGAACAACAUUAAAACGCACUCGCUCCCGGCUUGAGAGGCACACAAAAUUCUGGCCUAUGACUAUUUCUUCUACUGUCAUAUUCAAUUACAGACCACAUUUAGAACCAAUAUUGACUCUUAUGCUACAACCUGAACUUCGGGAAGCAGAUGUCGCCCAGUGUAAGCAGUGUAUAUAUUCACUGAUUGGAAACGAAGCUAAACACGAGCCGUUGCACAUAGCACCUUCUGGUCAGCGAGCAAAAGGAUCAAAAACUAUAAACAACUUUGGUCGGAGUUGGAGGCAUUCCUUCGUGCCCACUGUGUGACGGACAAGCAUAUAAAUAUUUUAAAUUGCCUUCUUGAGGUGAGGAAUAAGGACAAAGCAGUAGAGGGUACAGAAAAAAUCGACAUGGAUCUUGCUCUCAAGGAAUUAGACCAUAUAUCUAAAAGUUUAGAAAGAGCAAGUGUGAUAAGGGCGACGACAGAUUCGCCAAUGUCCCCUGAUGCUGUGGUUCCAAAUGUACAUAGUAAGUCAAUUUUAGAACUGUGGAUAACCAAGUUCUGCCGACAGAAGCCACGACCAGACUUUGCCGGUUUGGCCACAGCCCAGCCGAUAGGCAAUGGGAGGCUGAGGGCAAAGCUUUACGCCCACAUGAAAGAGAGGACCAAGUCUGGAAACAAGGGCCC
rnacentral:misc_RNA from 1 species